CCUACGGGCGGCAGCAGUGGGGAAUAUUGCGCAAUGGGCGAAAGCCUGACGCAGCGACGCCGCGUGAGGGAUGAAGGUCUUCGGAUCGUAAACCUCUGUCAGGAGGGAAGAAGUGGUUAUAUGCGAAUAGUGUAUGACUUUGACGGUACCUCCAAAGGAAGCACCGGCUAACUCCGUGCCAGCAGCCGCGGUAAUACGGAGGAUGCGAGCGUUAGCCGGAUUUAUUGGGUUAAAAGGGUGCGUAGGCGGUCCGGAAAGUCAGCGGUAAAAGCCCGGGGCUCAACCCCGGCGAGCCGUUGAAACUGGCGGACUAGAGACGGCGAGAAGUACGCGGAAUGCGCGGUGUAGCGGUGAAAUGCAUAGAUAUCGCGCAGAACUCCGAUUGCGAAGGCAGCGUACCGGCGCCGGACUGACGCUGAGGCACGAAAGCGUGGGUAUCGAACAGGAUUAGAUACCCCAGUAGUC
rnacentral:rRNA from 1 species